AGUUGGUCUGAGGGCUAUCGGUUAUUGUUAAGCUAAUUAACACUGUCUCCCCCUCAACAAUCAUCUUGACUAGCUUGUG
rnacentral:Y_RNA from 1 species